rnacentral:rRNA from 1 species
ACUCAAAGGAAUUGACGGGGCCCCGCACAAGCGGUGGAGCAUGUUGUUUAAUACGUCACUAACCGUAGAACCUUACCAGGGUUUGACAUCCACUGCACCGGUGUGAAAGCAUCGUCUCCCGCAAGGGAGCAGUGAGACAGGUGUUGCAUGGCUGUCGUCAGCUCGUGUCGUGAGAUGUUGGGUUAAGUCCCGCAACGAGCGCAACCCUCACCCCCUGUUGCCAGCGCGUGAAGGCGGGAACUCUGGGGGAACUGCCGGGGUAACUCGGAGGAAGGCGAGGAUGACGUCAAGUCAGCAUGGCCCUUACAUCCUGGGCUACAAACAUGCUACAAUGGACGCACACAGACCGAUCCGAUCUCGCGAGAGGGAGGCAAUCGGACAAAAGCGUUCUCAGUUCGGAUCGCAGGCUGCAACUCGCCUGCGUGAAGUCGGAAUCGCUAGUAACCGCAGAUCAGCUAAGCUGCGGUGAAUACGUUCCCGGGGCUUGUACACACCGCCCGU